CCUACGGGUGGCAGCAGUGAGGAAUAUUGGGCAAUGGAGGCAACUCUGACCCAGCCAUGCCGCGUGAGUGAUGAAGGUUUUCGGAUUGUAAAGCCCUUUCGGAAGUGAAGAUGAUGACGGUAGCAUACAAAUAAGCCCCGGCUAACUUCGUGCCAGCAGCCGCGGUAAUACGGAGGGGGCAAGCGUUGUUCGGAAUUACUGGGCGUAAAGGGAGUGUAGGCGGUUUAGUAAGAUAGAGGUGAAAUCCCAGGGCUUAACUAUGGAAUUGCCUUUGUAACUGUUAGUCUAGAGUUACAGAGAGGUUAGUGGAAUACCCGGUGUAGAGGUGAAAUUCGUAGAUAUUGGGUAGAACACCAGUGGCGAAGGCGACUAUCUAGCUGUACACUGACGCUGAGGCUCGAAAGCAUGGGGAUCAAACAGGAUUAGAUACCCGGGUAGUC
rnacentral:rRNA from 1 species